UCUUUCCUACCCCUCCCCAUUAUGGCAGCAUCUGCUUAUCAGAGAAAACAUUUGGCCAUUGGUUUUGGGAGUUUGGCUUAUUUUGUUUAGCAUAAUUUUCUUGAGCUCCAUCCAUUUACCUGCAAAUGCCAUAAUUUCAUUCUUCUUUAAGGCUCAGUAAUAUUCCAUUGUGUAUAUGUACCACAUUUUCUUUAUCCAUUCAUCUUUUGAAGGGCACCUAGAUUGGUUCCAUAGCUUAGCUAUUGUGAAUUGAGCUGCUAUAAACAUUGAUGUGGCUGUGUCACUGUAGUAUGCUGAUUCUAAGUCCUUUGGGUAUUAACUGAGGAGUGGGAUAGCUGGGUCAAAUGGCGAUUCCAUUCCAAGUUUUCUGAGGAAUCUCCAUACUGCUUUCCAGAGCCUUCUUUCUUUACAUCUAGUGUGAGGAGGGAAUUGUAGAAAUGAUCACUUCCACAUUAAUUUCCAACUUUGUCUUAGUCCAUUUUCUGUUGCUAUAACUGAAUGCCACAGACUGCAUAGUUUAUGGAGAAUAAACUUUUAUGACUCACAGGUUUGGAGGUUGGGAAGGACCAAGCUUAAGAGGUCACAUAUGAUGGGGGCCUCUUGGAGGUGGGGACCCUCUGCCAUGUUCCAAAGCAGCAUAGGGCAUAUUAAAUUUCACGAUGUGUUCUGGUGGGAACAUUCAAAACCAUAGCAAGCUUCAAGUGACCAUCUCUAAGAAACAGAACCUCUCUGUAAAUUUGAUUAAAAAGGCAAAAUAAU
rnacentral:lncRNA from 1 species